GGAAGGUAAGGCCGUGGCGGCCAGUCAGCCUCGAAAACUGACGACACGACACCGUGUGAGGUUCGAUUCCUCUACCUUCCGC
rnacentral:tRNA from 1 species